AAAGUCACAAGCUCUAGGCCCCACCCUUUAUCUGUCUGUCCCAGGCUUCACCCGGCGUUCCUACUACCCAGGGCCGGGGCGUGGCGAUGAAGGGCGGACGAGAUCUUAAGCCGGCUUCCGGCAGAGCAGGUGAGACUAGUUCGGAGGGGAUGGAAGGUGACAAAAGGAGUUCUGCCUGGAGGGGUUGGCCCUAGUGAGGGAGCCGGGGAAGGCAUGGGGCCAGCAAUGCGGAGGCCUUUGCCCCGCGUGCGCCCCCGGUCAGAGUACAGGUACCUGGCAUCCUGGAGUGGAUGCCAACCCUUCGCCCCUGCAGACCGCCCCUUGGCUCAAGCCUACGCCCCGUGCCGCCCUGGGCGACUCCAGCGCCACCUCCUGAGCGGCGAGUUCGACCAGCUGCGCGACUUUCCCAUCUUUGAGAGCAACUUCGUGCAGGUGUGGAGCCCCGGACCUCCAACCCGUUGAUGUACGGAGCCCCAGUCAUUUAUCACUCUUUGGAACUCCAAGUGUUCCACAUAAUUUCUGAGCCCGCUGGGCUUUUUGUGGCUUCAGAAGCCUUUGUCUCAGUUUCCUUGACUGUACACACAUAUGGUUCUUGUCCUUUGAUCCUAACAUCUCUAGCCCACAACUUUCUUUUUUCUUUUUAGUGGUAAUGUGGGUGUUACCCA
rnacentral:lncRNA from 1 species